rnacentral:rRNA from 1 species
UACGUAGGGACCAAGCGUUGUUCGGAUUUACUGGGCGUAAAGGGCGCGUAGGCGGCAAUUCAAGUCAGCUGUGAAAUCUCCGGGCUUAACUCGGAACGGUCAGCUGAUACUGCUUUGCUAGAGUGCGGAAGGGGCAAUCGGAAUUCUCGGUGUAGCGGUGAAAUGCGUAGAUAUCGAGAGGAACACCUGAGGUGAAGACGGGUUGCUGGGCCGACACUGACGCUGAGGCGCGAAAGCGUGGGGAGCGAACAGG